GUCUAGAGGCCUAGGACAUCGCCCUUUCACGGCGGUAACACGAGUUCGAAUCUCGU
rnacentral:tRNA from 1 species